UGAGUCCCUUUUCAAUGUGUGAUGUGUCUCUUCUAGAUUUAACAAAGAAAAAUAAAAUAAAUAGACAUAAUCUAGAAACAUGUUUCUAGGAAAAGGUUCAUCAACAUACAAAUACAUCUAAUACCGCCUUCUCGAGUAUAAAAAUAAGAAGAUAUUGAAUAUAUAUUUACAUGUUUUAAAGUAAGGUGCAGGACAUGUGUCUUAUUCCUUAUCAUUUAUUACUACUCACACUUGUAAUCUGAUAAUGCAUGCAUCUGACAAAAUGUGGGUGAAAUUUGAAGCUCGAUUUGCAAAUAGAGGAAGUUAGGCUGUGGAAGCAUGCGUUGUAAAUUUUUGGGACUUGUUAGUGGUUAAGACAAUUAUCUGACAGCCACAAUGCGAGUUUCCUCGUAGGGCCACAAGAGGAACAAAUAAGAAUAUCCCAACAAAUACGUGAAAGAUGUAGCCAUAAAAAGCAUCACAAAUUCAAAAGAAACAGCAAAUUCUGUCAUAUAACCCUUUUGAAGCUUAUGUUGACAGAUGUUGAUGACCCUACAUCCAGUUCCGUUCCUAUGUGACCAAUUCAUUCAGUCACGGUUAAGAACCGGCUUUCAACAAAUCUAAGAUUUGAACCCCACAGAUCCAGGAGCUAACCAGUAAACAUGUAUGUCUCAUUGACUAGCAUAGUCAUAAAUCAGCUCAUUGAGGGAACUGUUUUGUCAUGAAUUAACCAUAAUGACCAUCCUUUAGUCAUAGAGGGCAACCUUUCAAGGCUCGUUAGGAAUAUAAAGGGCUUCGCUAAUGCUGUCCCUCACCCUCAGCUUCCAAAAUGGCAAAACCCCAAUCAAACCAAGACAUGUUCCCUUUUCUUCACAAGUUCAAAUGAUCAACAUCUCUUCACAAGUUGUGUUGCGGUAGGCAGUUAAACAUAUAAAGGCUACCCUUUUCUUCACCCAUAGACUUCCUGUUCUUCCAUCUUUAGGUUUUAUAAUACAGAGAAAAAGAAGUAUAAAGUAUUGGAUGACCCUACAAUACGAAUAAAGAAAAAAAAACACCAAUUGCUGGACAAAAGUAGAGUAGGGGUAGGAUUACGUACCUCAUUUGUUGCUGUAAAGAUUAGAAAAAAACAAUCCAGAAAGAAAAUAUAUAGCCUCCUCUAAGUGGCUUCAUGAUAUCAGCUUGUAUGCUUUCAAUCAACAAAAUACGGACUUGAUCUUCAAAUGCUAUGGUCUGCAGUCU
rnacentral:lncRNA from 1 species